GAUGUGUACAGUAUGGCGUUUUGUCUGUGUGGUUGCAUCUUGGAAUUACCUAUAAAUGAUGUGUUUAGGUAAUACAAGUUCGUGGGAACUACUCUGAAGUGACGUUUUUCAGACUGCCUUAUUUUUGUGGCUAAAGAAUCAGUGGUCGGGUAUAAAUAAACACUUUUAUAAAAGAAAUAUUGAGAGCACGAGAGGCAUUGCAACUGCUGUCACAUAAUCACCAUGGUCAGCAUACCAGACUGGACAAAGUUUUCCCGGACUGUUGAAGGUUUAAAAAAACCUAAUUUUUCACAGCCUUUGAACAAAUUUUUCUACCAACAGGAGCAGGUGGCGCUCAGAGAAGCUGAAGAGCAAGGUUAUUUCCUUGUGCCAUCAUGUGACUAUAUUCUUAAGUAUAUCGGCCCUUGCAAUGCCAUGAGCAAGAGUAUCAAACAAAUCUUUUUGGUGAAGCUGGACGGAGUGCACAUGCAAAAGCUCGGUGACAUAUCUCUCUGUACUAACUUGAAAAUCUGCAUCCUAGCAAAUAAUUUCCUGACUAAUGUUGAUGCCUUAGCCAGAUGUUACCAUCUUGUUAAGUUGGAUCUCCAUGGUAAUCAGAUGUCUUCUAUCCCAGACCCAAUCUUCUGGUCUGGUCUCAAGAAACUGAGAGCUCUCUAUCUGCAUGACAACCCUCUUGGAAAUUUGGAGACAUUGCAGAAUCUUACUGUGUGUCGAUGCCUCACAAUCCUGACCCUGUAUGAUACUCCGCUCUACCUCCGCAAAAACUAUAGGCACUAUGUGGUCAACAGCAUCUGGACAUUAAAAGCGCUAGAUCAUCAUGUGAUAUCGGAUGAGGAAAUUAUUGAAGAUGCUUUUUUCAGGGGUCAUUUUUCAGCUCUCUGUCCACCUUUCAGACUUGACCUGUGGCUUGCUUCAUCAAAUAAUACCACUUAUCAAGAGGAGCUGAAGCUGCUGCAGAAGUUGGAAGCAUGCAUUAACAGAAUCCUGGCAAGAAAUUCUCCAGUCAUCAUUAUACAACGUUACUUCAGGGGCUACAUCACAAGAAAAAAGCUUGGGUUAGUCCCAAAUCGGAAGCCACAUUCUGGCAAAAUACACGAAGGACCUCAUCUGUUGCCACUUGCUGUCUCAACUGAAGGGCAACCAAGAGCAGAAUCUCAUCAGCCAAUAACUGAAAUACGCAGGACACCUGUUUGGAUUGUUCCUCCAUCAUCCCCUGUUCAUUUAUUAGCUUCUGAUAUUUUUCCACCUUCUCUUACUAGUGACAAAAAAAAUGAAUCUCCAAGCAAUAUAAUUAUCAACUUCAGGAAGCUGCAAAACAAUAUCACAGAAAUGGUCCACAGUCAUGCAAUUCAUAAUCCAGAUCUGGAACGGCUGCCUCAUUUGUCCAAUAUACCUGCAGGGCAAAGGAGAACAGAAAAGUGCAGAAAUGAGAAACGCCCGCCAACAUUUGUGAAGACUGGCAAGCAGUCCUUUGGAUAUGUGGUUGAAACAGGGCCAGAGGACAAUAUGGACAAGAUAUUUGACAAAGAGGACUUUCCUUUCACAGUCUACAGGCUUCAAGGUCGGAAAUAUGGCUUUUUUCUGUCUGACGCCACCACAGACAUGAUCCUGGAGAAGGUAGCAUCUGGAAAGCAAGUUCGGGAGGUAAGAGCAGAAUGGAUGGAGAUGGCUAAGGCUGAGUCACCACCAAAAAUUCCACACAACAACUUUACAACCAACAAACAACGACUGUUUGCCCGGGUGUAUGGUACUAUGAGCUUGUCAUGUCUGCUAGCUGUGCAGAAGGCAUACCAAGACAGAGAGAAUGCAGAAAAACUCACUGCCAAAAAGGAGCACGUCAAAAUCUUAAGAGAUGAAAGGCAGAGAGCAAAGGAGAGCAUACAGUUUUACCUGCAGCAGAAGCGCAUUCGGCUGAUGCACAAGCAGGAUCUUGAUCAGGCCAGUUUGCUGGACCAGCUGGAGAAGAAAGAACUGCAGCAGCUAAAUUAUUUAGACAGGCAGCAUGAAGCGAAGGGAUGGGCUACAGCUAUGACAAGGUCCCAUUAUGCAAACAAAACUUUCAUGACUGAAUUUAACUCUCAGCACACAUCUGUCUCCAAUGCCCUGCUUCGCCAUGACCGGCAGGCUAAGAAUGAAGAUAAAAACUCUUCCCAAAGAGCAAAGGUGCAAAAUCUUCGUUCUGAUAAACAUGAGCAGCAGGAGAUGGUGAAGAAAUACUUGGAGCAUCGUCAGCUAAUGCGGCAGACUGAAGCUUCUCUGGCACGGACUGCUCUUGAUUCCCACAUCUUACAGGAGACCACAGAUCGUCUAAUGGAGGCCAAGCAACGAGUAGCUCACAUCAAAGCAAAGGAGGCAACAGUGCAGGCAUUUUAUCCUCUUCCACCAAAUGUUGUGUCAGGACUUGAAGAGGCAGAAACUAGGCCACUGCAGGGGAGCUUGUGAACAGUAUUAUGUAAUGCCACUUGACUUGCAGUAAAAAAAUGGUGCAAUAGUAUUGAAUGUACCAUAUGUGUGUGUAACAGAUUUUGGCCUAGAAACAUGAAAAAUGGGAAUCACAGGACCAGUAGAGGACGCGAUGGUGGUGGGAACCAGUAUUACACUGCACUGACACUGUUCUGGGAGUCAGGGUGCAACUUAGUAAAAUGCAAGGUGAUUCAAGGACCAUAGCAAGCACAUGUGUGCACUGGCCAGAAGGCAUAUACAUACUGAAAUAAGAGUAUUAUUAUUACAGUGUAGGGCCUGUAAGCUGUGGUGAUCGGGGUCGAAACUGCUUAACCGUGGCUUAGGUGGUCCAUGGCUUGAAUAUUUUUUGAAAAGUGCAUAAAUUACAAUAAAUAAAGAAAAAAAUA
rnacentral:misc_RNA from 1 species